ACUAGCAUGAAGACCAUUGCUAAAAUGCAGAGGGAUUGCGUCAGGAAGGGCAUCCGGCGUAAAAUUGUGCCAAAUAAAUAUGCUUGCAUCUCAGAUGACACGCUGUGGCGACCCCUAACGGGACAAGCCGAAAGGAAAAGAAGUUAGUAAAGCUGCAAAGCGAGUUGGACGCACUCGUAAGGGUGCCUGUCUUACCAGUGACGUUUUUACACUUCUGUCAAGCGUGAUAAAUUAUAUUUCUACGCACUUGAACUACUACAUAUAACUAACGAGGUAAAAGUGCGCAGUUUGACAACUGCGAGCUUCUAGUACUAGUAGUGACUAUGAAAGUAAGUCCUGAAAAUUGUACAAGUAACGUCACGAUACAUCAAUUGCGUCUACCGUAGUUGUUUUAAUAGGAUAGCCGGGACUGGUCACCAGCCAAGGAUUCUUCUUUUCCUUUCGCCUUGUCCCAUUAGGGGUUUGCUACAAUGCGUCAUUCUUUUUCGUGUAAGCCUAUCUUCUUUAUCUUCCUCUCUAACACCAGGGAUGAGAAUUUUCGUCGGAUUCGCGGAAUUCCGAUUUUUUUUUUCAGAUGAAAAUGUCAUAAUUGUUAAACGUGUAGAUUCGUUGAAAAAAAAUUGGGGAGGGUACGGCUCGACGCGGGGCGAUGCUGUGAUCAAGACCGGCGGCCAGCAUCUAUCGACAACGCUCGUCGUGAAAUUAGUCACAAAAUUAUUUUGGUUGUUUGGACUCAUAUGUCUUCAAAACAUUAUGAUUGCCUUGUAUUUACACUGUUAGAAGUAACCAGAGGUCACAUUUAACAGUGUGUUUGCUAAAACAAUUUCAUGACUGCAAAUGGCUAUAUUGUAUGUGCCCUGUGGUUGGUGGCAUGUUCAGAGCGCCUCUCACCCAAGUCAGCUGGGAUAGGCUCCAGCACCCUAACGAACCAAAUGAGGACAAGCAGCGCAGAAAAUGUAUGAAUGACUUAGCAAAAAUUAGUUAAAGUCGUACGGGGGGGAGACAAUUAAAUAAUGGAGCUGGUGUGUUUCAUCACAAAUUUUAAUAAAACGUGUCAAGGCAAAAUAUUCACUUAUCAACCAGGAUUUUCUGUUUCAUUUACUGAUUUGAAGGUUUGUGAAUAUGCAAUUAACAUCAUCGCAUACAUCAUCAAAGAAUAAUUAAUCAGUCAAUGAAUAUAAUCUGUUGUUGAUGCAACCGUUUCCCAAGAAGACAGUCUCCUCCUCCAAUUCGACCAUCCCAAAUUGUAAUUGUUUCAGUUUACAAAAAAAAAAAAAAAAAAAAGUCAGUUUGAAGAAAAAUACAUAAUGGACCCGGGUUCAGUCCCGGCCCCUCCUGUGUGGAGUUUGCAUGUUCUCCCCAUGCCUGCUGGAUUUUCUCUGGGCACUCCGUUUUCCUCCCACAUCCUAAAAACACCCAACAUAAAUUGGACACUCUAAAUUGCCCUUCGGUGUGAUUGUGAGUGUGGCUGUUUGUCUCUAUGUGCUCUGCGAUUGGCUGUCAACCAGUUCAGGGUUUACCCUGCCUCCCAAAAAAAAUGCCAACAGUUGAAAUCUAGGUGAAAAUGUAUUUUACCCAAAAGAAGGGUACCCUAGAUGAGUAUAUUAGUUUUUUUGUCACUAGCAUGCAAAUGUAAUUUAAUAUUGCUGAAAUUACUCGCCGGUUCGUGGAAAGUCUUAUAGGCAGCAGAAUAAAAAAAAUAAAAAAAAAGCUACUGUUGACGAGCACAGCCACGCACCGGCACAUCAGAAGGCAGUAAAUUUGGGUAUGAAUCCUACAACAUAAUAUGAAAACUACAAAACCAGCUCCUAUUGAACGGGUGAUGCGCCUAACAGCAAGAAGGAUCGGAGUGGCCGAAUUGUGAGGGUGAGCGAUUCUUCUGCCUGUGGAAUGAUGUAGCGCUCCACUCUAAGCAGGCGCAACAGCAGGUCCUGCAUGUCUUGGGGCCACCGGUAUAUCCUUGUGUUCUGAAGCCAAUUGGGGACAUGUUUCUGUCUCAGAAAGAGAGCAAGGAGAUGGAGAAAUCACAUUAAAAUACAUUUUUAUUUUUCCAAACAUUAUGCAAGUAGCAUAGUGGUACAAUGAGAUCAGCAUGUCCUGUUCAUAGCAACGAGGUUUGGCUUACAAUAGGGUUAGGCCAAGGCAUUUACUGUGUUUAGAAAAUGCAUCUCAUCUAGGGGUGUCAAAUAGGGAUGGGAAUGGAAGUUCUUUUGAGUGCACUGAAUCAGUCGAAUCAGUUCCUUAAAAAGAUCAAAUCGUUCACUUCUUUGUCAUAAAAUAAUUUAAGUGCUUCCUCAUUUUAUGAAUGAUCCAUCCCCGAGGUUCACGGUCACGCAACACAUUCACCAAAGCGCUAAAUGUGUUGUUGUUGUCCUGUAUUUUGAAAUAGCAAAGGCAGAGCACCAUCAGUGCACACAGAGAGAAAUUAAUCCAUAAGUAGAUUUUUUUUUCUUGUGAAAAUAUUUUAUCUACAAGCCAAAAGUAAUCAUCAAAAGAGCCACACCUGGCUUGCGAGCCUUACAUUCCUGACCCCUGCAUUAAGAGACACAGAGGGAAUGAUAUGCAUGUGAACAUAUUAUAUAUACGUUUAUUAUUAAAAGACAUUUAUUUUAAAUGUGUGGUUUUUAUGUGCUUCACUGACUCAAAAUUACUCUAAUUUCUGAAAUGUGCAAAUUUUUCCCAAAAUAUUUUCAAAAAGUUAAUAGAGCGCAUAAUAUUUAGGUAUGGAUAAAAUUAUUUAUAAUGACAUUUUAUAGCCGUAUACAGGUACAUAGAGUGGUAAACAAGCUAUACAUACACAUUUUGAUAUAUUUGAUGCCUUAUGUUUCACAUUUAUAUAUAUUACGGUAAUCUGCGCCCCAACCUGAGCUCUCUGAUCUCCUCAGGGGAGCUUCGCAUUUUACGAUCAUUAGCGUAGCAAAUGUGUUGCUACGGCACAAAAGACUAGAAACAACUGCUCAUUGGUUUGUUUUAACUUAAACUAAGACAUAAAAUGUAAACUACAACAACUAGUUAUGCAUCUGCUUUUAAAAGAAAUGUCUUUGCUGACGCAAGGAACCCGGAAGCAGCCCAGCAGUCUAAAACAACGAGAGCUCAAUGGCUUCAGGUCUUUAUCAAAACAAUGUGAGCUCAAACUACGUAGUAUGAGCACAAUGACUACAUUUAAAAAAAGAAAUAAAUAAAAACAAGAGAGCGCGCACAAUUGAAAUCCUCGCUUUUUUUUGUUUUUUUAAAUGUUCCCAUUACACUGGUUUCUACGUAGCUUUAGCUCACAUUGUUCUGAUAGCCACUAGAUGCCGUAGGAAAGCUGCUACAGAUUGUUGCCGAAUGGAGGGUCUUGAUGAGGGCAACACAACCACAUCAUCUGCAAAGAGCAGAGAUGCAAUGCUGAGGCCAACAAGCCAAACCCCACUACACCUUGGCUGCACCGAGAAACUGUCCACAAAAUUCCAGUCCAGUUAUUAUAUUGGUAGCAGGAGUACUGGAGCCUACACCAGCUGUCAUCGGGCAGAAGGCGGGGUACACCCUGAACUGGUUGCCAGCCAAUCACAGGGCACAUGGAGACAGACAACAAUCUCACAAUCAUAACAAGAGGCAAUGUUUCUGGGAUGUGGGGGGAAACCAGAGUGCCCAAAGGAAACCCACACAGACAUCGGGAUAACAGCCAAACUCCACACAGGCAGGGCCGGGAUUUGAACCCACUCCUCAGAACUGUGAGGCCAUCAGUCUACACCUGCACCACUGCACCCUUUUGAUUUCAAAAGGCAAUAAAUGACAUAAGGCUUUUUUUCCCUUUUUUUUAUGUGUCCCAUUCACCUACAAAGCCUUGCAGAAUGGUGAAUCUGUAUGUGUUUCUGUUGCCACAGUUGCUGUGCAACAUGGGAGUUUGAAAUACAGUAUUUUAUACAAUAUUUUUUUUCCAAAUCAUUUAUCUUAUGUUUCUUGAAAAUACACCUACAAAGAAAAGGAUUUUAGGGAACAGACAGGGACAGAAAUAUGGGUGCAAACCACCGCAGAACAAUAAUUAAACUAGAUCUAGGUCUAGAUAUUUGAACACAAGUAACAUUUCAACAGUCAUUUGUAGAUUGAGGGGAGAAACCUGGUGAAGACAUGAAAUCACUAACCAAGAAAACAAGAUAAGAGGAUAGAAAGGGCCAGGAGACGAUGGGGGGAAAUGAGCAAGGCAGUGCUACUGUCGCGUAGUGCAGUGGGAUUCUUUUUUUUUUCUUUUUUCUUUUUUUUGGGGGGGUUUGAACACCUGGAAGAACCGGUGAGUUAUGUUAUUAUAACCUGUCUUGUUAUCAGUUAUCAGAGCACAUGUAAUUAUUUGAUAGUGUUUCCAUCGAACUUAUUAGUGAAUGAACACUGUAUCACUAACCAGACCAGAAACCAGCAGAAAUGUGUCAAUGCCCGGCCCGGCUCUUACAUCAUGACACCUGAGCCUGAAUGAGAUAUGAAUGAAUUUAAAAAUGUGCGCUGUGUGUGAAGUAAUGGGCUAGAUUCUUGCAGGUCUGGCCCGGCUCGACCAGUCAGCAGACCACAGAGACCGCUUCAGAGAUCAAGAAUUAUGACACUAUAUUCUUGUUUGAGAGGACAGGCCUGCCUCAGGCAAGUGAGCCAUCCCACAUUUCGUCCCACAUACUGCUUGGCCAAUAGUGCGUAGACCUACAGAUAUCCUCACCAUGACAUCUUGGAGCAGAACUCAACGUGGCAGCAUUUUGCCAAUCAAUUAGGUGCUGCUUAUUAAAAAUUAUUGCACAUCCAACAAAACGUAAUUGCAGCUCUCCUUACCUUUUGUCUUUGAUGUAGCCUUUCACCCCUCCAUGCCAAAACUACUAAUGAAUGAGGCUUGCAGGAAGCCACCACUGGCGGAAGGAUUCAAAUAUUUUCCGAAAUAGAUUACAAAUGUCAUGAUCCUGCCGCUCCAGCACGAGCUGUGCGGGUCCCCGCGCGGGUGCGCUGAUUUGGAGGUGCACACCUGCGCCCCAUGCAGCCUGAUUAUGCUGUGGAUUUAUAUGACCCCGAAGACAACUGGCCGGCGCCAGUUCGUUGAUCUUCAUGUCCUGUUCGUGCGCUGCGGUAUCCCUGAUCGAACCUGUGUGUACCGACCUUCGCCUGUUCUCCGACCAACCUUGUACGCCUGACUCCUUCGUUACUUCUGCCUGCUUUGAUUGUUCUCCUGUGUACCGAAUCCUGCCUGUCCACUCACCUGCUCUCUUCGCCCGACGUCCCAACUACCGCUGCUGCACCGGACUGCCUGCUCGAUCCCCUACCUCUGCAUAUAAUAAACGUUUCUCCUUGAACUACCUGGCAUCUUCCGAGUCCUGCAUUUGGGUCCUACUCUCGUUCUGAUGGGACGUGACAACAAAAGCUUUCCUUGGUUGUUUACUUUAACAUUUGGUGGGUGGGAAGGCAUUCAAAGUGUGUAUAAACAUAUGAUACAAAGUCCAUCCAUCGAUUUUCUUAGCCAGUUAUGCUUACAAGGGUCACAGGGAGUGCUGGAGCCUAUCUGAGCUGUCAACGGGCAGGA